ACAGAAUCUGGGUUUCAUCCAGUAAUAAUGGUGCGAAUAACAAAUGUAUUCAUUAUAUUGCAUAAAAUAGGUUCUUUUGAAUAAUUAAUUGUCGUAGUGCUGUUGAACCACAAGUGUUGUCUAAUAUGAUUUUACUUCUUUUGCUGUUAUUCUAGGUGAGAAACAGUGAUGGAAUUCACUAGGAAUCUAUCACAGAUACUUAGAUUUCCGUAAGAUGCUCCAAGGCUUAUGACCAAUAUUAUCAAAUUGGUGUUGUCUUUUGUACCAAAUAUUUGAGUGAUUCAAGGGUAUUUUGUCAGCUGUUUGCAGGGAGGAGAUUGAAAAACAAAAGGCUCAUGAGCGAUACAUGAGGUUGCAGGAGCAGGGAAAAACUGAACAAGCAAAGAAAGAUUUAGAUUGCUUCUUGCUUAUUGCUUUGGAGAUCUACUACCAUGUCAGAAGCAUCUGCUGCUGCAUCUGGAUCUGCACCAAGUGGCAGAGCAACCAAGAGUUUUGAAGCUUCGGCUUCAGCCCCUACAACCAAGAAAAAAAAGCAGAAAAAAUGAUCCAAUUCACUCAACAAUCAAGGCUGCAUAAAGGUCUGAACAUUUUUGCUUCAUUUGAAGUUCAAUUUUUUUUAACUGUCCUAAUAUCAUUGAUUGCAGCUUCAAAUUCUGUAUGCAUAUUUAAUAUUGAUGGAAGCCUUGUUGCAUUGAGGAAGCCAUGCUGGAAAUUUGUUUGAAGUUGUGCACUUUGAUGAAAUGUUGAUGAACUGUUUUAAUUUUAAGUUAUUUGUUUCCGUUUGAGACUUUCAAUUCAUUUUAGUUUACUGCAAAUUGAUGCAGCUGCAUUGUUCUGGACUAUGGACAAUCUAUUGCUUAUUUUUAUUUGCUGCAGUUUGCUGGAAUAUGUAUAAUUGUAUAUUGUUGCAUACUUGCAGCUUUGCAUUGUUCUACAGUUUUUCAGUUUGUUA